AGCGAACGCUGGCGGCAGGCCUAACACAUGCAAGUCGAACGCGUGUAGCAAUACACGAGUGGCAGACGGGUGAGUAACACGUGGGAACGUGCCCUUCGGUUCGGAAUAACUCAGGGAAACUUGAGCUAAUACCGGAUACGCCUUACGGGAAGAUUAUCGCCGAUGGAUCGGCCCGCGUCUGAUUAGCUAGUUGGUGAGGUAACGGCUCACCAAGGCGACGAUCAGUAGCNGGUCUGAGAGGAUGAUCAGCCACACUGGGACUGAGACACGGAACCCNGACUCCUACGGGAGGCAGCAGUGGGGAAGUAUU
rnacentral:rRNA from 1 species